CCUACGGGAGGCAGCAGUGAGGAAUAUUGGUCAAUGGACGAGAGUCUGAACCAGCCAAGUAGCGUGAAGGAUGACUGCCCUAUGGGUUGUAAACUUCUUUUAUAAAGGAAUAAAACGAGGCACGUGUGCCUUUUUGCAUGUACUUUAUGAAUAAGGAUCGGCUAACUCCGUGCCAGCAGCCGCGGUAAUACGGAGGAUCCGAGCGUUAUCCGGAUUUAUUGGGUUUAAAGGGAGCGUAGAUGGGUUGUUAAGUCAGUUGUGAAAGUUUGCGGCUCAACCGUAAAAUUGCAAUUGAUACUGGCGGUCUUGAGUACAGUUGGGGUAGGCGGAAUUCGGGGUGUGGCGGUGAAUGGCUAGAUAUCACGAAGAACCCCGAUUGCGAAGGCAGCUUACUAAACUGUGACUGACAUUGAUGCUCGAAAGUGUGGGUAUCAAACAGGAUUAGAUACCCCAGUAGUC
rnacentral:rRNA from 1 species